rnacentral:rRNA from 1 species
AGAGAUGCACUGGGCUUAAAGCGUGCGCAGGCGGUUUUGUAAGACAGAGGUGAAAUCCCCGGGCUCAACCUGGGAACUGCCUUUGUGACUGCAAGGCUGGAGUGCGGCAGAGGGGGAUGGAAUUCCGCGUGUAACAGUGAAAUGCGUAGAUAUGCGGAGGAACACCGAUGGCGAAGGCAAUCCCCUGGGCCUGCACUGACGCUCAUGCACGAAAGCGUGGGGAGCAAACA